CUCCAGGGAAUCUUCCCAACCCAGGGAUCAAACCCAGCUAUCCCACAUUGCAGGUGUAUUCUUUACCAGCUGAGCCGCAAGGGAAGCCCUAGAUACUGGAGUGGGUAGCCUAUCCAUUCUCCUGCAGGUCUUCCUGACCCAGGAAUCAAACUGGGGACUCCUGCAUUGCAGGUGGAUUCUUUACCAAACUGAGCUAUCAGGGAAGCCCCUUAAAAAAGGCUGAGUGCUGAAGAAUUGAUGCUUUCAAAUUGUGGUGCUGGAGAAGACUCUUGAGAGUCCAUUGGACUGCAAAGAGAUCAAACCAGUCAAUCCUAAAGGAAAUCAACUCAACUGAUUCUAAAGGAAAUCAACCCAAGACAUUAAUUGGAUUCUUUGGCCACCUGAUCCGAAGAGCCAACUCAUUGGAAAAGACCCUGAUGCUGGGAAAGAUUGAAGGCAAAUGGAGAAGGGAGCAACGGAGGAUGAGAUGGGGACGGACUCCAGAUGCAUCGUCUUCAGUAAUCGCAGCACACAGGCUCAGCGGUGGCGGCCCACAGGCUCUAGAGCGCAGGCUCAGCGGUGGCGGCCCACAGGCUCUAGACUGCAGGCUCAGCGGUUGCUCCUGAGCACGUGGAAUCUUCCGAAUCUGCAUUGCUUUAGCAAUACAGGAACCGUGAAAUUCCAGAUGUUCAAACUGGUUUUAAAAAGGCAGAGGAACCAGAGAUCAAAUUGCCAACAUCCAUUGUAUCAUUGAAAAAGCAAGAGAAUUCCAGGAAAACAUCUACUUCUGCUUUAUUGACUAUGCCAAAGCCUUUGACUGUGUGGAUCACAAUAAACUGUGGAAAAUUCUGAAAGAGAGGGGAAUACCAGACCAGCUGACCUGCCUCUUGAGAAAUCUGCAUGCAGGUCAGGAAGCAACAGUUAGAACUGGACAUGGAACAACAGACUGGUUCCAAAUUGGGAAAGGAGUACGUCAAAGCUGUAUAUUGUCACCCUGCUUAUUUAACUUGUAUGCAGAGUACAUCAUGAGAAAUGCAGGGCUGGAUGAAGCACAAGCUGGAAUCAAGAUUGCUGGGAGAAAUAUCAAUAACCUCAGAUAUGCAGAUGACACCACAUUUAUGGCAAAAAGUAAAGAAGAACUAAAGAGCCUCUUGAUGAAAGUGAAAGAGGAGAGUGAAAAAGUUGGCUUAAAGCUCAACAUUCAGAAAACUAAGAACAUGGCAUCUCGCCCCAUC
ensembl:lncRNA